GCGUAAUAUGCAAAUUAGUGUUUCACUUAUACAUUCAUCUAUGUUUUCAUUCUGUCUUGUAACUUGAAACUACCAUGCCCUGUGAGGAGGUUUGUAAAAUAUGGAAAUAUAGAUCGGAAGGGCUAAAUCAGACUGAAAUUGCUAAAAGAAUUGGAAGGACACAACAAACAAUCUCUAAAGUACUGAAGAAAGAUAGAACUUUCAGUAAUAAACCAAAAUCUGGGAGGCCAAAAGCAACAACUGCAAGACUGGACAAAAAUAUUCUGUUUAGCUUCAACUCAAAUGCUAUCCUUCUCUCAAAUAAAAUCACGAACAGGAGAGGUGUGUCCAAGGACAAUAUGCAACAGAUUACAU
rnacentral:lncRNA from 1 species